rnacentral:hammerhead_ribozyme from 1 species
AUCUAGCUGAUGAGUCCCAAACAGGAUGAAACCUGCCUCCUGUAU